rnacentral:rRNA from 1 species
AAGACCUUGCGCUUUUGGAGCGGCCGAUGCCUGAUUAGCUUGUUGGUAAGGUAAAAGCUUACCAAGGCUUCGAUCAGUAGCUGGUCUGAGAGGACGGCCAGCCACACUGGGACUGAGACACGGCCCAGACUCCUACGGGAGGCAGCAGUGGGGAAUUUUGGACAAUGGGGGCAACCCUGAUCCAGCCAUGCCGCGUGAGUGAAGAAGGCCUUCGGGUUGUAAAGCUCUUUCAGCCGGAACGAAACGGUUACGGUCAAUACCCGUGAUUACUGACGGUACCGGAAGAAGAAGCACCGGCUAACUACGUGCCAGCAGCCGCGGUAAUACGUAGGGUGCGAGCGUUAAUCGGAAUUACUGGGCGUAAAGCGUGCGCAGGUGGUUUUGUAAGUCAGAUGUGAAAGCCCCGGGCUCAACCUGGGAACU